rnacentral:lncRNA from 1 species
AUUAUAAAAUAAAUAAUCCGUUGGAAUUAAUAUUCAACUCAAUAUAUGCGUAUAUAAUAAACUAUAUGAUCGCAGGUUCAAUAUGGGAAUUUCAAAAAUGUUUAACCAGGGAAAUGCUGAUCAGCUGUUGUCAUUGCCUAUGGGAUUAGUAUCUAAACCUGGUUCAAUCUAUGUUAAACACUUGGAAUAUAGUAGCAUGCAGUUUAUGAUUG